AUUGAACGCUGGCGGCAGGCUUAACACAUGCAAGUCGAGCGGUAGCACAAGAGAGCUUGCUCUCUGGGUGACGAGCGGCGGACGGGUGAGUAAUGUCUGGGAAACUGCCUGAUGGAGGGGGAUAACUACGGGAAAGGGAGCCUAAAACCGCAUAAGUUGGAAAGACAAAGAGGGGGAACCUUGGGGCCCCUGGCAAUCAAAUGUCCCCAGAUGGGUUAAGCUGGUAGGUGGGGUAAUGGCUCACCUAGGCGACGAUCCCUAGCUGGUCUGAGAGGAUGACCAGCCACACUGGAACUGAGACACGGUCCAGACUCCUACGGGAGGCAGCAGUGGGGAAUAUUGCACAAUGGACGCAAGCCUGAUGCAGCCAUGCCGCGUGUGUGAAGAAGGCCUUCGGGUUGUAAAGCACUUUCAGCGAGGAGGAAGGUGGUGAACUUAAUACGUUCAUCAAUUGACGUUACUCGCAGAAGAAGCACCGGCUAACUCCGUG
rnacentral:rRNA from 1 species